GACGAACGCUGGCGGCGCGCCUAACACAUGCAAGUCGAACGAGCGAGAGAGAGCUUGCUUUCUCGAGCGAGUGGCGAACGGGUGAGUAACGCGUGAGGAACCUGCCUCAAAGAGGGGGACAACAGUUGGAAACGACUGCUAAUACCGCAUAAGCCCACGACCCGGCAUCGGGUUGAGGGAAAAGGAGCAAUCCGCUUUGAGAUGGCCUCGCGUCCGAUUAGCUGGUUGGUGAGGUAACGGCCCACCAAGGCAACGAUCGGUAGCCGGACUGAGAGGUUGAACGGCCACAUUGGGACUGAGACACGGCCCAGACUCCUACGGGAGGCAGCAGUGGGGAAUAUUGCACAAUGGGGGAAACCCUGAUGCAGCGACGCCGCGUGGAGGAAGAAGGUCUUCGGAUUGUAAACUCCUGUUGUUGAGGAAGAUAAUGACGGUACUCAACAAGGAAGUGACGGCUAACUACGUGCCAGCAGCCGCGGUAAAACGUAGGUCACAAGCGUUGUCCGGAAUUACUGGGUGUAAAGGGAGCGCAGGCGGGAAAGCAAGUUGGAAGUGAAAUCCAUGGGCUCAACCCAUGAACUGCUUUCAAAACUGUUUUUCUUGAGUAGUGCAGAGGUAGGCGGAAUUCCCGGUGUAGCGGUGGAAUGCGUAGAUAUCGGGAGGAACACCAGUGGCGAAGGCGGCCUACUGGGCACCAACUGACGCUGAGGCUCGAAAGUGUGGGUAGCAAACAGG
rnacentral:rRNA from 1 species